AUAUCUUGACGCAUUAACUAAAAAGAAUGCCGUUGCUGCAUCAUAAUUAGACAAGACUAGUUAUAAUAUCUGUCGCGGCAUAUUCUCGUUCUUUGUCCUAGAUUCACCGUAUUCACCAUCCCAACGUAUUGCGUGAUGCUUGGGGAGAUGGGAAAAGGCUAAGGAGGGAUCUUUAGAAAAUUAAGUAUUCUUGGUUUUGUUGGUGGG
rnacentral:lncRNA from 1 species